ACACUGUUGGCACUGGGUAUCUAGCCAUCCCGUGCUCUCCCCUGCAAGGUACACUGAAGCCCACUGCCCUGAGAACUUCUUCAGAGGCUGCUCACACCCUAUGCAGGAGAAGGUUCCACUCAACAAACAGCCUGGAUAUGAAGGCCCCUGCUCAGCUCCUGGGGCUCCUGAUGCUCUGGCUCCCAGGUGCUCGUUUUGAUGUCCAGUUGACCCAGUCGCCAUCCCUGUCUACAUCUCUGGGAGAGAGAAGCACCAUCACUUGCAAAGCCAGUCAGAUCAUUAGCAAUUAUUUACAUUCUUACCAGCAGACAGCAAGGAAAGCUCCAAAGCUCCUGAUCUAUUUUGCACCUACUUUGCAAUCUGGGGUCCCAUGGAGGUUCAAUGUAAUUGGAUCUGGCACAGAGUUCACUCUCAGCAUCAGCAGCCUGCAGCCUCAAGAUUUUGCCACUUACUACUGUCAGCAGGGUAAUUAG